GAGGGUAUAGUUCAAGUGGUAGAGCACAUGCUUAGCAUGCAUGAGGUCCUGGGUUCAAUCCCCGGUACUUCCU
rnacentral:tRNA from 1 species